rnacentral:tRNA from 2 species
GGGUCUAUAGCUCAGCUGGCUAGAGCAUGCGGUUCAUACCCGCAGUGUCAGAGGUUCGAAUCCUCUUAGACCCA